AUAUUUAUCAAAAUAAUUUCUUACGUGCAAGCGAAUCAAGCCUAGUAUAGCAGCCCAUCUGGACAUUUGUUUCAAUAAGACAAAUUCAGCAAAGAUUCAGAUCAAAGCAAACUAUUUUGUAAAGGCCAUUUAUUAUGUGCUGAGAAAUAAAUCUGUCUCUCUGGGAACGAGCGCUUUUAUUAGACCAAAACCAAUCGCAUCUCGUGCCCGUAUUAUGUGGUUUAAAUUUCGGCUUUUGCACGGGCUGAUGUCGAUGACAUAUCUCUCAAGAGUCUGCCUUAUCAACUGUCGGUGGUAGGUUACCAUAACCUACCAUGGUCGUAACGGGUGAUGGGGAACCGGGGCUCGAUUCCGGACCAGGAACCUGAUAAACGGCUAUCACAUUCAAAGAAGGCAACAAGCGCGCAAAUUACUCUGUGCCAAAACGGUGAGGUUGCAACGGAAAAUAACAAUAUGGGUCUCUUGAGACCUCGUAAAUGGAAUGGGUACACUCUAAAUCCUUUAACGAGGAUCAAUUGGAGGGCAAGUCUGGUGCCAACAGCCGCGCUAAUUCCAGCUCCAAUACCGUAUAUUAAAGUUAUUGUGGUUAAAAAAUUCGUAGUUGGAUCUCAGUUCUAGACAGGUGGUUCGUUUAUCAGUGGUUACUAUUUCUUAUAUUCUUGAUUGCAAAUCUAUAUUCUUGAUUGAGUUAACUGUGGCAGUUAGCUACAUUAUGAUUAAAAUGGAAACCCUCUUUCAACUGAUAUAUAGAGCCCACCAUAUAUAAUUACGUAUCCAAUGAAGAAUGGAAACAGUGAUAUAUUAUAAAAUUUCUUACAGCUUUCA
rnacentral:ncRNA from 1 species